UACGUAGGGUGCAAGCGUUGUCCGGAAUUAUUGGCGUAAAGAGCUCGUAGGCGGUUGUUGCGUCGGCUGUGAAUCCCGAGGCUCAACCUCGGUCUGCAGUCGAUACGAGCAACUAGAGUGUUGCAGGAGACUGAAUUCCUGGUGUAGCGGUGAAUGCGCAGAUAUCAGAGAACACCGGUGGCGAAGGCGGUCUCUGGCAACAACUGACGCUGAGAGCGAAGCGU
rnacentral:rRNA from 1 species